rnacentral:piRNA from 1 species
GUGGUUCUUCUGAAAGAAAUCAAGAA